UUUAAAGCUACAGAAAAGACAGAAAGUGAGAAAAGAAAAAAGCCUGCCAGAGCCGAGGUAGCUGCCCUGCCAAGAGCUAUCCUGGGAGAGCUAUUGAAAGAGCCUUGAGCUUUUAUCGGGACCAGAGAAGACGUGAUGAUGUUGGAGCACAAAGACAUGGAGCUGCUGGCUGACGUCACAUGUAGCAGAGGGAGAGCUGUGGGGAGCAGUCUUUGAGGAUUUGGGGGGUGAACACGCCACGGGCCCGCUUCAUCAAGAGUGGAAAUCGGCAGGAGGAAAAAGGACGUCCUUAAA